UACGUAGGUCCCGAGCGUUGUCCGGAUUUAUUGGGCGUAAAGCGAGCGCAGGUGGUUUAUUAAGUCUGGUGUAAAAGGCAAUGGCUCAACCAUUGUAUGCAUUGGAAACUGGUAGACUUGAGUGCAGGAGAGGAGAGUGGAAUUCCAUGUGUAGCGGUGAAAUGCGUAGAUAUAUGGAGGAACACCGGUGGCGAAAGCGGCUCUCUGGCCUGUAACUGACACUGAGGCUCGAAAGCGUAGGGAGCAAACAGG
rnacentral:rRNA from 1 species